GGAGGAAGGAGCCCAGCUGAGAAGUGAUGCUCAGUGCGUGGGCGCUGUCCCAGGUGGCUACUGAUGAAUUAGACUCUCAAGGAAGGGAAACAGACAAAAGUAAUUUCAACUCCACUUCAGCAGGCUCAAGACACCAACACAUUUUGUUAUGUAGUCCCUGGAAUGAAGCUGAACUUUUCUGCCACCUACUGCUUCUCAAUGUGUAUGGAUGGCUUUCUUUGAGUUGUGCUCAAAAUAACAUCUGAUCUGAAAGCAGCACCAGGAAAUUCAAUCAUCUAUGAAAA